UUUUCUCUCAACUACCAUCUUGCUGAAAUUAUCCAAAAAAUCACUUUAAGCCACCAUUUUCAUCCCUAAUUUGAGCUACCCAAAAGAUUUGUGCAGAUUUAGUGGAGUUGCAAAGAGCAAAAAUCCCUAUAUCGAUGCAGCACUUGCUUGCUGGCAAGAACAUAGGAAAAUGACCAUGAAUUUUGGGGGAAAGCCAGAGUUAGAAGAUUGAAUCUUGAGGAAAACAAGACCUAAGGUUGUCACGGCAUAAUUUGAGUUCUUCCCUUGGAUACAUAUCUGGAUAGCUUCGUAGCCGUAGCACAACCAAGAAGCAAGCAAUUGAGCUUGACCACUUGAGGAGUGAAAUUGAAGAGCAUUGAAGAAGGGCAAAUGCGGCAGAGCAAUGAGCUACACAAAUUGCAGAGGAAUUCAAUACUCAAAAGGAGCUAAUUAAGAGCUUGCAAGAGCAGCAACUUGAAACUAGGGGCUGUACGAGGAGUUGAUUGCCCAAAUGAAAGACUUGCGCAAAUGAUAAACUUCAAAAAAGUCCAGCUUCAUAUUGAUCAUGAGAAGGCUAUUGGAUAUGCUGAUAGAGAUGAUUGAAAUAUGACAUUGGUGCUGCAAUCUAUGCUUUAGUUUAGAAAUCUAGUACUCUAUCUUUUG